GGAAGGAUUAUGUAGCGUGUGUCAACAAAAUAAUCAUGUAAGGUUAUGCAGAGAAGGUUCCUCAAGACACCCCUGAAGACAGAUCCCAGUAAUGCACAUGGACCAUCCCCAUCAUGGCAUGUACCAUCCUGAAAAACCCAAGGAGAUCAUUGUUCCAAGCUGCAGGGCAGCUACUACUCCAAGAGCCUUGUGGAAUAUUGAAAGGCUGUAUGCCCUUUUGGAGCUAUCUCUUCCCCAAGCUGCUCCAACUACGCCCAGCAAAGGACAGCAAAUGAUAACGGAAAAUAUGUGGGAGUGCUGUUGCAAGUACAAUGCGCUCCACAGAUGACUACCUCUGUUCUGUCAGUGCAGAAACCAUAGCCAAGGAACAAAUCAAAGGAAUUCCUCUGCCGUCAAGCAUGCACUAAAGGUGGAUUUAAUCUUACAACGUUCAUCUGCAAGCAACAGAAUGCCCUUCAGUCCAUUGCUGAAGAACAACAGUUCAAAGAUGUUAAAAGGUCGGAUCUAAACUACAUUUCUCAUUAGGUACAGAACAGAGAUGCAAAGGAAAAGAGCUAUGUGCUGAGACUCAAGAGGAGAAAGAAUCAAAUUGAGACCUUGGAUCCCAUAGCAGGACACGGAAAAAAAACAAAUACUAUGCUGAGACUCAAGAGGGAAAAGAAUCAAAUUGAGACACUAGAUUCCUUAUUAGGCUGCUAUCUCAAGUGUACAUGCAGCGACAUUAACAAGGAGAAAGAAGCAAAGGAAAGCAAAGAACUUCGUUUAGAGGUUUCUUCAGUGGAUCACGUUUUAAAAGUACACUGUAAGGUAGAUUUACAAGACAAAGUUUAUCUCGACUAAGUUUCUUUCGAAAGAUUGUUAGGGUGGAGCUCGUAUCAGUGAUUUCUCAACACAAACACAAAACUCAAGAGUCAAAAGAAGACAUUGGAAAUACUGGCAAAUUGGCUCGUUUCUUGCUAGUUUUCGAAGAAGCCGUGAAUUGUAUUUUAAGUUUGUAGCUUUAAAACUAAGGUAGAACUUUGGCAUUACCUGAAUUUGUUUUUGCAACCCGAAUUUCAGACUGGAAGUCUCGUUAUUAAACCCGUUCAAAGUACUUUCUAAUUGUCUCGUGUCUAUUUCACUGGCCUCUUCCAGGCGUUCAGUU
rnacentral:lncRNA from 1 species